ensembl:ncRNA Y73B6BL.274 ncRNA
GAGCAGGAUAGGAGGGAAGUUUGAAUUUUUAAGAAAGCCAAGACAUUUCGGGAUGACAAAGUUAAUGCAUCACUGCACUUAUUGUUUUUUGUCGUUUUUAUUUGAAGGAUUUUGAAUAGAGAAUCAGAGGAUACACUUUGAACUGAAAUUGAGCCAA